GUGGGAGCCUGUGAUGAUAUAAAAUUCUUUUACUGUUUUGCAACAGAGGUCUCAGAGGUUUUCCAGAGGGAAGAAAAACAGUAGAAUGCAUGUAGAUAUAUAAGAAGCUAUUUAUUAUGGGAAGUGACACAUAUGAGAAUUGAGAAGCCCCAGGAUAUGCCAUUGGCAAGCUGGAGAAGCAGGGAAGCCAGUGGCAUAAUUCCAUCUGAGUCUGAAGGCGUGAGAAAUUUGGAGGAAGGGGAUGCUGAUCUAAAACCUGGAGUCAGAAGGCCUGAGAAGCAUGUGCAUCAGAGUCUGAAUGCAGAAUAUGGAUGUCUGAGCUCAAGAAGAGAGAAAGAUAAUUUAUCCUUCUUCUGCUUUUUUGUUCUGUUCUGACCCUCAGUGGACUGGAUGAUGGCUGUUCACAUUGGUAAGGGCAGAUCUUCUUUACUCAGUCUAUAGAUUCAAAUGGUAUUUUUUUCUGGAAACAUCCUCACAGACAUACCUAGUUGUGAUACAGGAUGGGGGCAGGGAAGUGCUGGGUAGAGAAAGUCAGCUUCCCUGACGAGGGAUCCACCCUCAGGCCUGUGCCCGUGGACCUAGGUGAGGACAGGCACUCCUGUUUUCAUGCCCAACUGUUGCAAUAUCUAAGACCACCCUGACCUGCCACGCCCACAUCCUGUGCCUAUAAAAACCCUGAGACCCUAGCGGGCACAAACACAAGCGGCUGGAUGUCGAGAAGAACACACCAGCGGAAGAACACACCAGCGGAAGAAUACACCAGCAGACAUUCGCAGACACUGGCAGGCCAUCUAUGGCGGGACAACGCGGGGUUCGGCCAAGGGCGGUUGGAGACGAGCCUGGCCACUGGGCGGCCCAACUCCAGGAGAAGACCACCUUCUCACUCCAUCACACUUCUGGCCUCCCCAUCCACCUCUCUGAGAGCUACCACCACUCAAUUUAAAACCUUGCACCCAUCCUCCAAGCCCACAUGUGAUACAAUUUUUUCCAUUAGGCUAAGGCAAGAACCUCGGGAUACAGAAAGCCCUCUGUCCUUGUGAUAAGGCAGAGGGUCUAACUGAGCUGAUGAACACAAGCUGCCUGAGGACGGCUAAACUGAAUGAUACACUGUAACACAUGUCCACUGGAGCUUCAGGAGCUGUGAACACUCAACCCUAGACGCUGCCGUGGGGUCAGAGCCCAUGCUCCCAACGACCUGCCCGUCUGCAUGCUCCUCCCCUAGGGGUUUGAGCUGCUGCAGCAGAGCGCCAAAGAAGCAAGCCACACGCCAUCACACGCCCUGCCAGGGGGAUAAGGGAACUUUUCCUGUUUCAACUGGGACCUCGCCCAGGAUCCCGGAAGGGAUUCCAGCAUUUGUCCCAGCAUGUUUUAUGCAGAAAGAAGUGAUCAAGGAAAGUGUCCAAGACAUGGUAAGCCAAAUGUAGAAUGAGGCAGUCAUAGUGAGAGGAUUGUCCACUCUGUUAUGCAUGAUUGAGAGUCAUAUUUAUUCCUAAACUACAUUCUUUUAUUAUUACUGUUAACUUUUCUCUGAAGUCCACAUUAUUUAAAAUUUACUUACAUGCUUUUCUUUCACAGUUAAAUGCUCUUGCACUUAAGUUCCUGAAAUAAAGCACUGCCUCCUUAAACAGAAAUACUAAUUUAUUAUAAAUAUGCAUAUUAAAUCCUGA
rnacentral:lncRNA from 1 species